CCUACGGGUGGCAGCAGUGAGGAAUAUUGGGCAAUGGAGGCAACCCUGAUCCAGCCAUGCCGCGUGAGUGAAGAAGGUCUUCGGAUUGUAAAGCCCUUUUGGAUGUGACGAUGAUGACGGUAGCAUCUAAAGAAGCCUCGGCCAACUUCGUUCCAGCAGCCGCGGUAAUACGAAGGGGGCAAGGGUUGAUCGGGAUUAAUGGGCGUAAAGGGAGGGUAGGCGGUUUAGUAAGAUAGUGGUGAAAUCCUAGGGCUUAACUUUGGAAUUGCCAUUAUAACUAUUGGACUUGAAUGACGGAGAGGAUAGUGGAAUACCCAGUGUAGAGGUGAAAUGCGUAGAUAUUGGGUAGAACACCAGUGGCGAAGGCGACUAUCUGGCUGUACAUUGACGCUGAGGCUCGAAAGCAUGGGGAGCAAACAGGAUUAGAUACCCCAGUAGUC
rnacentral:rRNA from 1 species